AGCACUUUUGGAUAAAUAUAUUUGGAACAGAAGACCAAGUGUAAAAAAAGAUGAUUCAGUGUCCAAACAGCAUAAUGAAAGCACAUCAACACUUCUUUCCAAAGAGAAAUUGAAUAAACAGCAGAAACCGGAAGAAAAGAUUGACUCAGACAUGAACACUACCACUCUACUUGAGGAUACCAGAAAGGAUCAGCAAGUUUAUGGAGGAGAAAAUGUGAAACAUGAAGAUGACUUACUGAGUCAAGCAACACCCAUCAACUGGCGAGUAGAAGUUAUCAGAACAAGCAACACAGGCACUUUAAAUCAUGUCACAAUGAGAAAAGUCCCCUCCUCCGCUUCUCCAAAAGAGGAAAACAUUCAUUAAUAAUGAAUCAGGACUCCUGGUGUCAACACCACAAACCCCUUUAAUGCAUACCUUAUAGUAAUUGUAACCAGGCCUAACCAUGUGUCAUUAUUGAACAUUUACAGAUGAUUAUUGAUUAUGUGAGCAGUAAAGAUGAUGACAUUACUGUACAUGGUGUCCCAUACAUUUCCAUACACAGGAAAAAUGUACCUUUUUUAUCUAAAAAAAACCCAACAUGUUUUUUGGCCAUCAGGAUUAUUUAAAAGUGUUGGUCUUUAUUCAAAUGCAUCUUCUAGUAUAAUUGUUUUUGAUUAUUAUAUUUUUUUUACAUAUUGAUCAAUAACUUACUUUGAGAUUUGUAAGUGAAGAUGACCAGCAGAUAUUUAAGUAAUUAUUUUUUAUUAACAAACAAAAAAACGACAAUAUUUAAGUGUAGAACAUAUGCAAAAUUGAAAGAAUAAAUACAAUUAGCCAUAAAGGGAAGUGACUGUCCACAAUAAAAUGACGUGGCGGGCCACAUUAGAAUGAUAUGGUGGGUCAGAAAAAAAUGAUGUGGCGGGCCAGAUUUGGCCCACGGGCCUUGAGUUUGACACCUAUGUUCUAGGUUAUCAGAAGUAUAAAAAGAGUACAAUGUUAAAUGUAUGGAAACUUACGGUACACCAUUUAUAAUGAUACAAUCAUGUUAUGAUGCUGUUGAACCGUCUAUGAUCAAAAAGUGAGUUUAGUGUUAUAUGCACUUUAGAUUUGCACUCUCAGGAUGUAGAAGGAAACUGGAGUAAUGAAUUGCAGACUAUAAUGUUGUCAUGGUAACCACUUGGAAAUCGUGCAGACCUGACACCUACCACAUGUGAUGUAAAUAACAUUAUUAAGUAUUUGCAGUUUACAAACUGAUACUGAUACUUUGUAUUGGAAUUGUGUCAUUGUCAUGCAGAUGAACAACAUUUUGUCUUAUAGAUGUUUUUAAAACAAAAUGUGAGUUGUGGAAACUUACAUGUUCUUAAUGCUCUGGCAAAACAAGAGCAUUCCCUUUGUUUACUAUGAAAUAAGCUAUCAAAACAAAGGCUGCAAAAGUUACAAAAAUGAGUAGCUCUCUGCCAUUGUUUUGUUGUUGUUGUUGUUGGAGACCCCCGCUGUACACUGUGGCUUUCUGCAGGUAUCAGCACUGAUUGGCAGUAAAGAAAAAUUAGGAAGUUAAGAAAAAUUAUCUUCAUUUCCCAGUAGCGUGGGAAAUGUUAAACGGUUGUCUCAAAAUAUUCUUGAUUGUACGAUGACAACUCA